rnacentral:rRNA from 1 species
CGACGGCAGCAUAGGAGCUUGCUCCUGAUGGCGAGUGGCGAACGGGUGAGUAAUAUAUCGGAACGUGCCCUAGAGUGGGGGAUAACUAGUCGAAAGACUAGCUAAUACCGCAUACGAUCUACGGAUGAAAGUGGGGGAUCGCAAGACCUCAUGCUCCUGGAGCGGCCGAUAUCUGAUUAGCUAGUUGGUGGGGUAAAAGCCUACCAAGGCAACGAUCAGUAGCUGGUCUGAGAGGACGACCAGCCACACUGGGACUGAGACACGGCCCAGACUCCUACGGGAGGCAGCAGUGGGGAAUUUUGGACAAUGGGGGCAACCCUGAUCCAGCAAUGCCGCGUGAGUGAAGAAGGCCUUCGGGUUGUAAAGCUCUUUUGUCAGGGAAGAAACGGUAGUAGCGAAUAACUAUUACUAAUGACGGUACCUGAAGAAUAAGCACCGGCUAACUACGUGCCAGCAGCCGCGGUAAUACGUAGGGUGCAAGCGUUAAUCGGAAUUACUGGGCGUAAAGCGUGCGCAGGCGGUUGUGUAAGUCAGAUGUGAAAUCCCCGGGCUCAACCUGGGAAUUGCAUUUGAGACUGCACGGCUAGAGUGUGUCA